rnacentral:lncRNA from 1 species
GGAUGUGGCUCAUCGCCAAUAAUAGAGCCAGUGUCUUCAUGUAUUCUCACGUGGUCUUAAUGAUCAGAACGUGCUCUUUCAUUCUCUGCCCUAAUUGAAAUAAUUCUGUCCCUUUCCUCAUUUACUUUUUCUCUGAUAUUCUUACACUACCAGCUGGGUUUGCACUGCCCCUCCCUGGCACACUGCUGCACCAUGGUUACCAUGGUUAUCACACAUUCUGA